AGGGUUGUAGCUUAGUGGUAGAGCACUUGCCUAGCAUGUAUGAGGCACUGGGUUCAAUUCUCAGCACCACAA
rnacentral:tRNA from 1 species